CAGUAUACCUCGCCUACUUAUCCUAUUGGAUACAUCAGCAAUAAUAACAUUGACGAUAAAAGAGCUUCACCUAAACGGCUGUCCCUCCCCAGGUUUAAACAGACAUAUUCUGUAACAGCCGAAGGAAGUGGCCGUCACUGUGAACUAAAUUCCAGGCGUUUAGAUGUAAUGUGUUUCUGGAUCCACCUUUGUAUCACUUCCUUGUCCACAACCAUCCUUCUCAUUAUGUUCUGGAUUGAACAAAAAACUCAUUUUCGUUUUAUUCCACUUUUUUAUUGACAGGGUUUCGAAGACAGUAUUUCUCCAAUACCUCACAGGAUGAUCCCGUGUUUGCUAGAGAUGGGAUACAUCGAUCUCGGACAGGGUAGGGAAAGAUAGCUGGCACGCGGUAUUACGUCACUCCCUAUUGUAGUGUGACGUCAUCAUUCGAUGUAACGUAACCACGUCGCAUAUUGAUAACGCCAUUGAUAUCGAUGCAAAGUUCACGUGACCUUGAUCAUGGCGCAAUGAAAAAAAAAACAAUUUAUUAUUUGUUAUGUGAAAAAUACAUAACAAAAACAAAGCCCAGAUGAUAGACAGCCAAACUCUUACACGAAGGUUGAGAUAUCUCCGUCUGUGUAACAUUCUAUUGAUGUCGUCGGUCAGUUCACGGAUAAGAUAAGGUACGCUUGGUCAAGGACCAGGAUGUGAACAAGGCAAUAUGUUAAGGGAGAAGGUGUGUAGCUUAUCUAGGGAGCCAAACCCAUAUAUCAAACAAGACAAUUUUAUCGCCAUAAAAGAUGAAGCCUAUUGUGCAUUUUCUACUCCUUGCCAUGGCAACUACGGUAUUGUCUUGUAGCGACUGGUACCAGGGAGCCACGUGCUAUUGCGCAUGCGAGGACACUGCUAUUGCCUGUACAAAAAACUGUCAUCCACAGCUGGUUAAUCCACAAGAUGCCAUAUCCCGGAUUAUGUGUACCGACUACUGUAAUAUGGACGGUAUUCGAUGUAUGCGAAAAUGUUUGACGUAAAAACAUUAUUGGUGUUGUCAGCAAAAUGGAAUCAGUAUCAAUUUACAAAUGUGGAAUUAUGGGUGUAUACAGGAAGAUUGUCAAAAAUAACACAAGAAAUUAAAUCCUAUCAAGUUCUAGAAGUAGUAGUGUGCAGCCAGUAGGCAUCGAACCCGCGACACUCGGCUCACUGGUCCGCCGCUCUACCGACUGAGCUAAAGGGAAUUCCCCAUAGCCGGAAGCUGCUGGAAGGCGACCAUACAAAUGUGUACAGUAUUUUCAAUUAAAACCCGGUCUAUUGUAUGAUCUUGUCAUUUAUGUUUUUAAUAUAUUUUAGCUCUUAUGAAAAGAAUGUGAGCUGUGUUGUCAAAGGAAAUUACUUUACCUCUAUUCCUGGUCACAGGGUAAACAUUGUUGACAUACUUUAACAGCCUCUUACAUACAGUCCCAGAAUCGAGAUGCUUGAUUGAGAUGCAGCCUUGCAAAUAAAGAAAUGAAAAUGAAUUGCCACAACUUUCUGAAAGGAUGUCAUCUUGGUGUUUUCUUCCGCAUUAUCGCAAAUAUACUCUGCCAGCCGCAUGUAAAUGAUAAUGAAAAUACAGAAUGAAUAAUAUUUCAUUGAAAAACAGGACAAACGUAGAACAGAACGUUUAUUCUCACACAAUGAACUUCAGAUUUGGCGAAAUGUCCUCGUUAUUUACAGUUUUAGUUGCAAAGAAUUUGUAAUAACCUAUACUGUUAAACAACAAUUUCAUUAAUUAAUAAAGACGAAGUGCUUUGUUGCGAUGCUGAUUAUGAACAAUCAAAUUAUGGCUUAUCCGAUCUAGAACGUUGGCUUCAUACGGAUUCGAUCAGAUUUUCAUUGUUAUGUUAUACGAAAUGAAUUAUUCCUCGACAUCAGGAAUGAGGUACACUUUCAGUAACAAAUUAAACAUAAACUGUUUCCUACACAAAACUAUAUUUAAGCAAGCUGAACAUAAUAAAAGUAAAUGUAUGUAGUAGGAGUGGAAAUUCAGCCUAACAGGUAUUUACAUUGAUAGAUAACCUUUAGAAAAAAAUUCGUCUAAGGAAGUACGCUUUACGUCAUUUACCUUUACGCAGACACUCGGGUUGACACAUUACGGACGUGUCCCCACUGAAGAUGAAGCUGAUAGUGACGUUCCUCCUCGUUGCAAUGGCGACCACUACAUUUUCUUGUAGCCGAUGGUACCAGGGGGCACCAUGCUAUUGUGCGUGCGAAGACACAGCCAUCGCCUGCAAAAAGAGCUGUAAGCCGAUAUUUGUGGAGCCAGUCGAUGCCAAGGUUCGAGUUAUCUGUUCCGACACCUGCAACACUGAAAGCAUCGUGUGCAUGCGCGGGUGUGUUUCGUAGACAUGAUUUUGCAAAGGAGAACUUAAUCAGACACUUAAAAUCAUCUGUUGUUUUGUGUCAGAUAUAGGUAAACCUGACGUAACGUAGCGAAAUAAAGCGCCAUGUCUGUUUAA